rnacentral:lncRNA from 1 species
CAGGCUGGUCCUCGGUGCUCGGCUCGCCACGCCUGCGACGCUGCCAUGGAGACGUAGCCGCGGCCUCCUGGCUCUGCCCGGGACCUGGAUCCCUUGCGUCAGCAGGCCCACGCGUGUCCGCGAGCGCCGGUGGCAAAGUCUGCUUCGCUGGAGCAUCCGGGCAAGCGGUGACUUUGCUGGCCGCUGGGGCGUAGGGCUCGCAUCCUUCCUCCUUCCAGUAGCUCUCUACUCCAUAGCUGAGGACCGCUUCUCUCACCAGCGGAGAGGAGACCCUGGGACCGCCAACCGUCUGUGGGUUAUUAAGGGACCUGCGAUUGUCCAUCCGCCUCAUCCUUCCGCUCAGCUCAGCUCAGCAAGCUGCAUCCUUUCUUCCCUUUGUAGUGUCACCCUUGGUAAGAGUGGAAGACUGGCUAGAAGAAAGGACCUGAACCAACGCUUAGUCCACAUCCCCAUUGUGUUUUGAGCGGGGUGGACAGGCCAGCCCCUGCUGCAGACACCCUGGAUACAUCUCUUUGAGCUCAGCAGUAUUGCAGCGGCAGUGGACACCUGAUAAGCUUCCCAGGAGUGGUGUGGAGUCACUGUCAACACUAGAGCACUUUGUCUGGAAUGGCUCUCACGUGGCUCCUGAAUGGUCAGAGAUGUGUCUUGGAUUCUCCUGCCCUCCUGAGGAUCUUGCCUAUGGAAGGUCUAAGUUACCUACUUUCACUAUUAAGUUGAACAAGGACUCCCAAACCCAACAGCCAUCAAGGUUGUUGGCCAACUAGUUACAAAGCACAGCAGCCGGCUGUUCCUGGCCUAGGAGGAAAGCCAGGUGUGCAGGACGCUGGGCCUGUGGGAUGAGUGGGCGAGUCCCGCUGGCAGAAAAGGCCCUGUCAGAAUCCUAUGCCCGCCUCCGGUACAGGGAUACGUCCUUGCUCAUUUGGCAACAAGAGCAGCAGAAGUUGGAGUCUGUACCACCUAGUACAUACCUGAGCAGAAGCCGCAGCAUGUGGUACUCCCAGUAUGGAAAUGAGGCCAUCUUAGUUCGAGACAAAAACCAGCUUGGGGUCUCUAGGGACACUGGCCAGUCUAAGUUUUGCUCAAUCAUGUAAUUCCAGGGAGAAGACCCUUGAUGGCCAUGAAGAUCAAGCCGUGGUAUAAAAACGCAACACCCAAGAAUGUCAUCCAACACUUUAUUAGGGGCACAACAGGUACCUAGAUGCUCCUCUCACUGCCCAAGCCCAGGAAAUGCUUCCAAACAAAAGGGAAGCAAGAGAGACACACACCCCGACCCUCACCUGCUGUGAGCUGCUGCCUGAUAUAGAAUGGAUCAGGUCCAGGGUAAGGAGGUGACUCUUCUUGCAGGGUCCCAGAUCUGUCAGCUCACUGCAGUGGCAUGUGAAAGGGGGGCAGUGCUGGUAGUGACAUUACUGCGUUGUGAUAGCAUCCACACUAGCCACCAGAUGUGGCCUCUUAUAUAGGUGUGUCCUUAAGCAAAAUGUGCCCCGAAGUGAUUCCAAGCCUAAUCGAGUGUGGGGAAAGUGGAUUCUGAUGGUGACGAAUCGGAUCCUCUCUUCUACCAGGCUGCGAAGGCACUCAUUUAGAGGCUAGCACUUCCCCCCCCCCCCAUGGCUAUGCAAAUGUGGGGAUGCAUUUUGUCAAAACUGAGCUUUCUAAAUAAACAUCUUAAAAACUCU